rnacentral:lncRNA from 1 species
GAUGUCAGUAAUCUUAAAGCAUCUGCAAUCCGUUUCAUCCUUUUUAGUACAUGUGCUUCAACCCCAGGGCAGAGGUUGGGUCCCAGGCUGCACUUGGUAAUCACCUGGGGAGAAUAUGAAAUAGACUAAUCCCCAGACAGGCCCAACAUGUGCAUGCUUGAAAAGCUUCCAGGUGAUUCUCACGUGAAGCUGUAGUUGAAAUCUGUGAUCUUGGAACAAGGUUUCUCAGCUUCAGCACUAUGGACAUUUUGGACCAGAUAAUUCUUUGUUGUGGGGGCCAUCCUAGGUAUUGCAGGAUAUUUAGCAGUAUCUGUGGCCUCAACCCAGUAGAUGUCAGUGGGAACCCCACUCAAAGUUGUGACAAUGAAAAGUUUCUCAAAUCAAUCUCCCAUUGUUUCUCAGGUUCUUUUGACUAUGAUCCAUAGCUGGAAAUGCUCACAUGCCUGGAAUUAAAGUUUCAGGAAACAUUUCUUAUGUUUAAUUGAAGUGAUGUACUCUGAUUUCCUGGUCUUUUCCAUCCUUCUCUGUUUCCUUGCUUUCUUUUGUGUUCAUUGUCAUUAACUAGUCACUUCAGUCUGACUUCUGCCUCAUAAUCAUCAAAACUGUCCUUGGUGAAGACAACCAGUGACCUCCUCGUCCAUAGACCCUUUGCUGUCCUCAGCUUACCUGAGCCCUCAGUGGCACUACAUAGAGUCGACCACAUCCUCCUUCUGAAAUCAUCUGUUUCCUUAGCUACUAUGACAUCUCACCCCUUCAUUUUCCUCUGCUUCCUCUGGUCUAUUUGUCUUCAUUUCUGAAUCUUCCUUCUUUGAUCUCUAUCUGUGAAGUUUCUUAGAGGUCUUCUUCUCUAAGAAUGUCACAUCAUUCUCUCUUGCUCUAGAUGAUCUUCCAUAUUCUAUGACCUUCAAUACCAACCAUAUGCCAAAGACCACCAAAUUUACGGUCAGCCCAGACCUCCCGUCUGAGUUUUCCACCCACAGGUCCCACUGCCAUCUUAACAACUGCAUCUAAAACAAAAAACUCUUGUCCUUUCUCCAAAGCUUUUACCCUUCCAACUUUUUAAACCUUAGGAAAUGGCAUCACCAAUCACGCAAUCACACAAGUCAGAAACCUGGAGGUCAUAGCUGACACCUCCCAGGCAUCCAAUGGACCAGGGUCUGUCAACCCACAAAAUAUAUCCUGAGUCUUUCUACUUGACUCCGUUCCCAAGGCCACCAUCCUACUCCACGGUGCUGUUAUCUUUCACCUUGAGCACUCGAGUGGGCUUCUAAUGGGCUUGUUUCAUUCUAAUUCAGUCUCUAGCCAACAGACAACAAUAUUCUUGAAAUAUAGUUUUGAUCAUAUCUCUUCCCUACCUAAACCCCUUCCAUGACUUCCCUUUGCAUUUGGAAUCAAGGUCAAAGAUCUCAGCCUGACCUAUGAAUGUCUCCAUGACCCUACCCCUCCCUGUCUCCCUAGACCUGCUUACCCAUUUGCUUAUCAGCUUGAGCCACACUGACCCCCUCUUCUUUUGGUUCUAUGAAUUGCCUGCCCAUCUUCUUUCCUGCCUUAGGUCCUUGACUCUUGCUCCUUUGCCUUGAAUGCCCUUUCCUCAUUUUCUGCAAGCCAAUUCCUACUACUCCUUGAGGUGUCAGUUAACUUCCACUUGUUUAAAGAGGACUUCCUGGCUCACCACCUCCCACCCCAAUCUAAAUUAGGCUCCCAUUAUACUCUCUCCUGAUGCUCCCUACUUUUCCUUGAUUGCAUCAGCAGAGCAAGUAGCUGUGAUUAUCUGUAGCUCCCCACCAGAAAGUAAGAUAAAGACUGUCUUUUAUAUUCACCUUGAGCCAAGGUCAGUGCCAAGCACAAAUGCAGCACUCUGUAAGUAUUAAUAAGAUGAAUGAAUGAACAGUGUUAUUUUGCAGAGAUAGAGGGAUGAGGCCCAAUGGGAUGCUUCAUAGGUGUUGAGGAGGUUAAGAUGGCAAGUUAGAGUUGGCUAUUCUUUUGAGAAAAUUAAUGGUGAAGGGGAUAUGAGAAGGUAACUUCUUGGAAAGGGGCAGCAGGGUCAAAGGAGGUUUCUUGUUUUAAACCAUCUGGAGGGUAACAUCAAUGAUGUAGAUGAGUCUGGUAUUGGCAGACUCCUCUAUCCACAUCCUGAAGGAGCUCAUCCAGCGCUCCAUCAGGGUCUGACAGUACCUCUCUGAGUCAGGUCCUUUUAGGUACAACUGUCUAUGACAGAGGUGCUGGUUCUCUACUCUCAACCCUCUUCUAACUAUGUUUGUGUCCACUGCUCAUUCCUCAACCUGGUUACAAACUCAGCACCACCUAGGGCAGGACUGGAAGUCAUUUUCUUUCUUUUUUUUUUUUUUUAUUUUUAUUUAAACAAAUUUUUUGGCGUUCCCGUCGUGGCUCAGCCAUUAACGAAUCUGACUAGCAUCCAUGAGGACACAGGUUCGAUCCCUGGCCUUGCUCAGGGGUUAAGGAUCCGGCAUUGCUGUGAGCUGUGGUGUAGGUCCCAGAUGUGGCUCAGCUCCUGUGUUGCUGUGGCUGUGGCAAGGCCAGGAGCUACAGCUCCGAUUCGACCCCUAGCCAGGGAACCUCCAUAUGCUGUGGGUGCGGCCCUGAAAAAAAGAAAGCAAAGUAAAUACAUAAAAAUUUAAAAAAAUUUUUUUGUGUGUGUGGAAGUUCCUGGGCCAGAGAUCAAACCUGCAUCACAGAAGCAACCGGAGCCACAGAAAUAACACCAGCAGAUCCUUAAGCUGCUAAACCACCAGGGAACUCCCAUCAUUUUUUCUUUUUAGACAUUGCACUCUGGCAAAAUGUACGUAUGACCUUCGGGAACCACUAACCUAAAUAUGUGGGGGUUGGUUCCACUAGGAACUAAGAGUUUCUUCAUUUUUACUUCUGAAUUAGAAGGUAAUGACGAAAGUUGAGUUUUGCAAUGAAUUUUAAAUAUCAUCACCUAGAAAUCCUUUACCACUGGCCAUAGAGUCAUAGCCUAUUGGAAUAUGCUUGAUGUAACUGCUUCUUUCACACAUGUGAGUUUGGACAAAUUACUUCCUUUUUCUGAACUUCAGUUUCUUCAUCAGUAAAAUAAAUGAGGGGGCUGGGUUAGACUCUUAGCUUGCAGUCAAGGAACACAUGUUCAGAUCACUUGACUGACCUGGUUGUUUGAGGGUAGAACCCAGGCCUAUGUAUUUUAGGAAGGCUCUACAAUAAUUCUGAUAUAUGAUGCUAGUUGCUGGCUCAGAUUCUUUUAAUACCUAACAUUUUAUAUUAAUAGUCUCAGUUUUCUUAAAGUAAAACCUGUCUAAUAAUAGUGCUAAAAUUUCCCUCAUGAAAUGUUGGCUAUGAUUGCAUUUAAAUUGGGAUCCUUUAUUUUUCCCUCAAGAGAUAUUUUAUUCACAUGAAUAAUCCAUUUAUAGUAAAAGAAACCCAAGUACUCAUGCCUUAUUAAUCUAUAUGGCUUGAAUAUAUUCCCAUCUUUUAAAUGAAACUAAGUACUUGAUUUAGGAAGAAGGCUACUGGAAUGAACAUCUUAAUUAGGAAAUGUUCUCUAACAUUCAUGAUGAAGAAGGGCAGUGUAAGAGUCUCCAAGCAAAACUACCUCAUUUUCCUACCAAACCUUUAGGCCUGAGAAUCACAGGAAAGGUUUUAUGUGGGGGAUGAGAAUAAAGAACUGAAACUUACCAUGGAAUUGAGAACAGAAAUCACAGGCAUGGUUAAGAAGCAGAACAUAGCUGUAGGGAAAUCACCUUCUUUUAACAGAACCCAGAGGGUGGGGCAGAAAGAGCUGAUCACUAUUCGCAAUAGCCAAGACAUGGGAACAAGCUAAAUGUCCAUCAACAGAGAAAUGGAUUAAUAAGAUGUGGUACAUAUACACGAUGGAAUACUACUCAGCCAUAAAAAAGAAUAAAAUAAUGCAUUUGCAGCAACAUGGAGGCAACUAGAGUUUCUCAUAGUAAGUGCAGUAAGUCAGAAAGAGAAUGAUGAAUACCAUAUGAUAUCACUUACAUGUGGAAUUUAAAAUAUGGCAAAAUGAGGGAGUUCCCGUCAUGGCUCAGUGGUUAACGAAUCCGACUAGGAACCAUGAGGUUGUGGGUUCGAUCCCUGGCCUUGCUCCGUGGGUUAAGGAUCUGGCAUUGCCGUGACCUGUGGUCAAUGAGGUCCUGCUGUACAGCACAAGGAACUAUAUCCAAUCACUUUGACAGAACAUGAUAGAAGAUAAUAUGAGAAAACGAAUGUAUGUAUAUGCACAACUGGUUCACUUUGCUGUACAGCAGAAACUGAUAAAACAUUAUAAAUCAACUGUGAUUUAAAAAUUGAAAGAGUGGAUGAAUGAGAAAUCCUAGUGGGACAGGCUCCCAACACUGAUGGGCCCCUGUCUCUUCAGUCUCGGCCGUCAGGCAGGAGCACUGUCUCAACCGUUGCUAGCUGAAGUCAACCCUCCACCCCAGCAGAGGGAAUAUACACAGAACCUCCACCCCACCCUUGGGCAAAGGUGGGGCACGACGGUAGCUCUAUGGUGGCUUAGUACCUCCAUCAUGCCAACACCAAGCCUCAAAAUAGGAACUGGGCUGAGUUAUAGAAAGUAAAGCUGUUUUUCUCCCACACCCAGAUUUGCAGACUGCGGUCCAUCCAUCACUGCCACAAAGUUGCUAUUGUCACUACCUUUGUUACUAUUAACCCUGCCUUCAUGGUGGGAGCCAUCUCGCCUCUGCUCUGUGGCUCCAGUGGAGGGGACAAAUAUACCCUGAGUCCUUCUGGCCAAACUUACCAUCCCUCCUUCCAUUUCUUCAGGAAUAAAUUGCUCCCCACCCCCUUCCUCCAUUAACAGCGGGAGAAUUCAUUCAUAUUCUCCUUCAUUUCAUUCAUUCAUUCUAAAAACACCAUGUGCCCCAGACCACUUUAGGUAACAGACACAUAACAGUGACUAGACAGGCUCCUUCUCAACCAAACACUGCAUUCUGAAGGUGAGGGGCAGACAGUAAACAAAUAAAUAUAUAAGGCGUCAGGUGGUGACAAGUGCUCUGAAGAUAAAUAUAGCAGGGUAAAGGAAGGAAGACAGGAGACAGAUGCUAUUUUAGAGGUGGUCAGGGAGGCCUCUCUGUUGAGCUGACAUUUGAGCAGAGAGCUCUGUGAACUUAUAAAAAUGCUUUAUACACAUGAUAACCAAGAUAAUCAGCCAAUUGGCACAGUAGGGGACUGUUCCCUUGGCAGUAUACCCAGAGCCCUAUCAACAACCUAAGAUUAAAUCAAAUGACUUCUAAAAGCCAGGUAAACGCCACCUGAAGGCAUAUCUUCACUGAUAAAUUGACUAAAAAUAAAAACAGUAACAGCAGCAGAAUUGAGCUUCUAUUCAAAUCGCUGUUCCUUAAAAACAUGUAUAAAAUUACUCAGCAAAAGAGUACGAUUAUGACAAAAUAGAAAUACCUAACACUAUCCAAUUGGCAUUUCCAAAGAGUGUUUUCCCUUACAAUUGUUGGUUUGGAACCACUUUCCAAGUUUCCACAGGGAAAUGGACAGCACAGCCUUUCAAUUGCGGAUGAAGGAGGUGACUGAGCUAUAAAAGAGUAACAGCAGAGAGCUUUGUAAUGAUGGAACAGCUCUGAGUCUUUGUUGUGAUGGUGGUUAUGUCAGUCUAUAUGGGAUGAAGCCGAAUGGAACUAAACACAUACACAUAUACACGAUGAAUGCAUUACUACUGGUGAAAUCUGAAAAGGCUCUACAGACUUUUCCAAUGUUAGUUUCCUACUUUUGACUGUACAUAUUUCUGCAAGAUGUUACCUUUGGAAAGGGUAUACAGGAUUUCCUCUGGUUUUAUAUCUUGCAACCACAGGUGAGUACAUCUAUACUUUAAAAAAAAAAAAAAAAA